rnacentral:rRNA from 1 species
GGUUUCCGUAGGUGAACCUGCGGAAGGAUCAUUGUCGAUGCCUAAACAUCAAACGACCCGCGAACGCGUUUACUAACAAACUGUCCGCGCCGGGGGCGGGGGUAAGCAUGCUCUUUGCCUGCCCCCCACCCCUCGGCGCGCCUAAACCAAACCCCGGCGCAGGUCGCGCCAAGGAACUUGAAAUGAAUUCGCCCGCCCCCUGCCCCGGCCUCGGCGUGCGGGGGGUGGAGCAUUCUUGUCGUAUUACUCACAACGACUCUCGGCAACGGAUAUCUCGGCUCUCGCAUCGAUGAAGAACGUAGCGAAAUGCGAUACUUGGUGUGAAUUGCAGGAUCCCGCGAACCACCGAGUCUUUGAACGCAAGUUGCGCCCGGAGCCUUCUGGCCGAGGGCACGUCUGCCUGGGCGUCACGCAUCGCUGCCCCCCACGCAACCCCCCAUGUGGGAUCGUUGCGCAGCCGGGGGCACACGCUGGCCUCCCGUGCGCACCGUCGCGCGGAUGGCUUAAAUUCGAGUCCUCGGCGCACGUCGUCACGACACUACGGUGGUUGAUCCAACCUCGGUACCGCGUCGUGGCCUUGACGCCGCCUCCAUGGACUCCUGCACCGACCCACUGAACGCCGUCCCCAAAGGAUGACGCUCUCGACGCGACCCCAGGUCAGGCGGGACUACCCGCUGAGUUUAAGCAUAUCAAUAAGCGGAGG